GGGUGCGAUCAUACUAGCACUAAUGCACCGAAUCCCAUCAGAACUCCGUGGUUAAGCACGCUUGGGCGAGAUUGGUACUAAGACAAGUUUUGUCGCAGGCC
rnacentral:rRNA from 1 species